rnacentral:misc_RNA from 1 species
UUUCCGUAGGUGAACCUGCGGAAGGAUCAUUAUAGAGUUUAUUCCCUAACGGGUAGACCUCCCACCCUUUGUUAUACCUACCUUUGUUGCUUUGGCAGGCCGCCUUCGGGCUAUCGGCUUCGGCUGGUGCGUGCCUGCCAGAGGACCCCAACUCUUUUGUUUAUAUGUCGUCUGAGUACUAAAUAAUAAGUUAAAACUUUCAACAACGGAUCUCUUGGUUCUGGCAUCGAUGAAGAACGCAGC